GAAUUUUGGACAAUGGGCGAAAGCCUGAUCCCGCAAUGCCGCGUGCAGGAACAAGGCUUUCGGGUUGUACACUGCUCUUGUACGGAACGAAAAGCUUUGGCUUAAUACCCUGGAGUCAUGACGGUACCGUAAGACUAAGCCCCGGCUAACUACGCCCCCGCAGCCGCGGUAAUCCGUAGGGUGCAAGCGUUAUUCGGAAUUACUGGGCGUAAAGCGGGCGCAGGCUGGUUUGUAAGACAGAGGUGAAAUCCCCGGGCUCAACCUGGGAACUGCCUUUGUGACUGCAAGGCUAGAGUACGGCAGAGGGGGGUGGAAUUCCGCGUGUAGCAGUGAAAUGCGUAGAUAUGCGGAGGAACACCGAUGGCGAAGGCAACCCCCUGGGCCUGUACUGACGCUCAUGCACGAAAGCGUGGGGAGCAAACA
rnacentral:rRNA from 1 species